UCAAUUAACAAUCAAUUCAGAACUGGCACGGACUUGGGGAAUCCGACUGUCUAAUUAAAACAAAGCAUUGUGAUGGCCCCUAGCGGGUGUUGACACAAUGUGAUUUCUGCCAGUGCUCUGAAUGUCAAAGUGAAGAAAAUUCAAGUAAGCGCGGGUCAACGGCGGGGAGUAACUAUGACUCUCUUAAGGUAGCCAAAUGCCUCGUCAUCUAAUUAGUGACGCGCAUGAAUGGAUUAACGAGAUUCCUACUGUCCCUAUCUACUAUCUAGCGAAACCACAGCAAGGGAACGGCUUGGAAUAAUUAGCGGGGAAAGAAGACCCUUUUGAGCUUGACUCUAAUCUGGCAGUGUAAGGAGACAUAAGAGUGUAGCAUAAGUGGGAGAUAUUAGAUUUCGGUUUGUAUCGACAAUGAAAUACCACUACUCUUAUUGUUUCCUUACUUACUUGAUUAAAUGGAACGUGUAUCAUUUCCUAGCCAUUAUACGGAUAUAUUUAUUAUAUCUUAUGGUAUUGGGUUUUGAUGCAAGCUUCUUGAUCAAAGUAUCACGAGUUUGUUAUAUAAUCGCAAACAAAUUCUUUAAUGAGAAAAUGCAUUUAUGUAUUUUCAAUUUGAAAAUUUGGUAUAACUCCAAUUACUCAGGUAUGAUCCAAUUCAAGGACAUUGCCAGGUAGGGAGUUUGACUGGGGCGGUACAUCUCUCAAAUAAUAACGGAGGUGUCCCAAGGCCAGCUCAGUGCGGACAGAAACCACACAUAGAGCAAAAGGGCAAAUGCUGACUUGAUCUCGGUGUUCAGUACACACAGGGACAGCAAAAGCUCGGCCUAUCGAUCCUUUUGGUUUAAAGAGUUUUUAACAAGAGGUGUCAGAAAAGUUACCAUAGGGAUAACUGGCUUGUGGCGGCCAAGCGUUCAUAGCGACGUCGCUUUUUGAUCCUUCGAUGUCGGCUCUUCCUAUCAUUGUGAAGCAAAAUUCACCAAGCGUUGGAUUGUUCACCCAUGCAAGGGAACGUGAGCUGGGUUUAGACCGUCGUGAGACAGGUUAGUUUUACCCUACUAAUGACAAAACGUUGUUGCGACAGCAUUCCUGCGUAGUACGAGAGGAACCGCAGGUACGGACCAAUGGCACAAUACUUGUUCGAGCGAACAGUGGUAUGACGCUACGUCGUUGGAUUAUGCCUGAACGCCUCUAAGGUCGUAUCCGUGCUGGACUGCAAUGAUAAAUAAGGGGCAAUUUGCAUUGU
rnacentral:rRNA from 1 species